ACUGUGAGCGCAGAAUCUCCU
rnacentral:miRNA from 1 species